AGAGUUUGAUCCUGGCUCAGGAUGAACGCUGGCGGUCUGCUUAACACAUGCAAGUCGAACGGGAACCUUCGGGUUCUAGUGGCGGACGGGUGAGUAACGCGUGAGAAUCUGCCUUUUGGUCGGGGACAACCACUGGAAACGGUGGCUAAUACCGGAUGUGCCUACGGGUAAAAGAUUUAUUGCCAGAAGAAGAGCUCGCGUCUGAUUAGCUAGUUGGUAGGGUAAAAGCCUACCAAGGCAUCGAUCAGUAGCUGGUCUGAGAGGAUGACCAGCCACACUGGGACUGAGACACGGCCCAGACUCCUACGGGAGGCAGCAGUGGGGAAUUUUCCGCAAUGGGCGAAAGCCUGACGGAGCAAGACCGCGUGAGGGAGGAAGGCUCUUGGGUUGUAAACCUCUUUUGUCAGGGAAGAAGAAAGUGGCGGUACCUGACGAAUCAGCAUCGGCUAACUCCGUGCCAGCAGCCGCGGUAAUACGGAGGAUGCAAGCGUUAUCCGGAAUUAUUGGGCGUAAAGCGUCCGCAGGUGGCACUUCAAGUCUGUCGUCAAAGACCGGGGCUUAACCCUGGAAAGGCGAUGGAAACUGAAAGGCUAGAGAGAGGUAGGGGUAGAGGGAAUUCCCAGUGUAGCGGUGAAAUGCGUAGAGAUUGGGAAGAACAUCGGUGGCGAAAGCGCUCUACUGGACCUCAUCUGACACUCAGGGACGAAAGCUAGGGGAGCGAAUGGGAUUAGAUACCCUAGUAGUCC
rnacentral:rRNA from 1 species